GAUGAACGCUGGCGGCGUGCCUAAUACAUGCAAGUCGAGCGAACAGACGAGGAGCCUGCUCCUCUGACGUUAGCGGCGGACGUGUGAGUCACACGUGGAUAACCUACCUAUAAGACUGGGAUAACUUCGGGAAACCGGAUCUAAUACCUUAUAAUAUAUUGAACCGCAUGGUUCAAUAGUAAAAGACGGUUUUGCUGUCACUUAUAGAUGGAUUCUCGCCGUAUUAGCUAGUUGGUACGGUAACGGCUUACCACGGCAACGAUGGGUAGCCGACCUGUGAGGGUGGUCGGCCACACUAGAACGGAGACACGGUCCAGACUACUACGGGAGGCAGCAGUAGGGAAUCUGACGCAAUGGGCGAGAGCCUGACGGAGCAACGCCGCGUGAGUGGUGGAGGUCUUCGGAUCGGAAAACUCUGUUAUUAGGGAAGAACAAAUGUGUAAGUAAAUAUGCACGUCUUGACGGUACCUAAUCAGAAAGCAACGGCUAACUACGUG
rnacentral:rRNA from 1 species